UGCAGACCACCUGUGCAAGGCUGGGUUGAAUUGAAGGAACAGGAGGAGCACCUGCAUUGAUGCACCUCCAUAUUAAUCUCAAACAGAGAGAAGGGCAAUUCAUUCCUGCUGGCUUGCCAUUUCUAACACUGUUUUUUUUACAGUGAGAUAGCGGUGGUGGGAACUGUCAGUAGUUGGGAAGUGCUUAAACCUCCAUCCUUGUUGCUACUAGCCCCAUGGCAAUACAGCUUACCAUUCCAGAUGGUUUUCAACAAAUGCUGACAUGGGGCUGAUUUGAACGGUCUCUUUGCGGGAGUAUGCCAUCACCUGGUUAAAGGUUCCUUCCAGCAAGAGUUCUCUCCUGAUCAGCAACCUACAACAAGCAGGAAAGUUUACAGAUAACUGGUGAAGCAGUGGUUUGGAAAAGGAAAUGAAGGAAGGUAGAAGGAAAUAGGAAAGACAGUCAAGUUGGAGUACAACUGGACAUUCUGGAGGAGGUGGCGGAGGGGAUGACACAGAGGAAGUCCGUAGGUGUUCAAACCCCACUACAGUCAGCAUGUCGUUGUGUCCCUGGGCAAGACACUUCACCCCAAAUUGCUCCUGUGGAGAUUGCCCACAGUAUUGAUUAGAUGGGCUGGCAAGAGAGAGGCUCUCCAGAAUUGACGUGGCAACUCUACCGUGAAGUCAGAACCUCUGACUCUUGGACUUGUGAUGUGAAUCCUCCGGCCGUUUAACUCCAAAUAAACCAUCAUGUGUUUGACAUCAAAGCUACUGCUCUUCCCAUGUCUCCUUCCUGAGUCGGUGACUCCCACUGCAUAGCUACACAGAAGUUUCCAUUACACUAUCAUAAAUCUAGAUUAUGAUUAGAAAAUUAUAAAAGUAGAUAGAAAUUACUCAUUCCAGUUUAACGUGUUUUGUGUCGAAGUGACUUAACAUAAUGUAUCAAGCGAAAGGUUAGAAAAAAGAUUGCAUUUAUCUGUAGGUACAGACACUAAUAAUAAGCAAUAAAGACCUUUUACUUAAAAUCAAGUAUUUUAAGAGGCUGCUGGCUGCAGCUCCCUCAUUAUACAGUAUACCAAUUAAGUGACAUUUUUUACUCAAUUGAGUGACAUUAAAAUAAUGGUUAAUGUCCUUCAUUAGUCACUUCAAAACAAUAAAGUAAAAUAGCAUCCAGGUCAGCAAAUAUAGUUUACAACUUUAUCCUAAAUGUUGUAUUAUAAAUAAUUAAAGUUUAGGGAGAUAUACUCUAUUUAUGUAUGUCAUUCUAAAUAUAAUAAACUAUAUCUGAUAUGAAGCUCUGAAAAAAAUUAAGAGAGCACUCUGUGUCUGUUGAAUUCCAACACAGAGAAAUGUUGUCAGUAGUUUAUAGAUUAAAAUCAAAAAAUUAUAAUUUUACUCAAACACAUACCUAUACAUUGGUGGUCUCUUAAUUGUUUCCAGAGCUGUAUC